ACAUGUCAAAAAUACUGCCCUUGUACAAAUGGUAAGUAGCUGAACAAACUAAGGUGUAUAUACAGGACAUUAAUACCACUACAGUUACUUAUUCAAAUGUCAAUCAACUGUUAAAGUUGAAAAUGGCAAAGAAGAGGUGCACUGAAAUGGACCAAGGUAAGGAUUAACACAUCUUAAAUCUCCAUCAAACACUGGACAUUAACAGUCUAAUGUGUUUCAUAAUGUACAUAGAUGUAAUCAUAGUCUUGUGGUGUGAAUUUGGUUUCAUAAGUUUUGUUCCAGGUGGAUAAUAAAAGGAAACCAGACCAAGUAUAGCAAACAAAUGUUAACCCUUUAUGAGCUGAUCUGUUUAAUUAUAUGACUCAUUCAAAUUAAAACCAUAAAUCAGUAUGGAAAGGUAAGUUCUGAGCACUGAGGAAAGACUUAUAUACCUACUAAAUAUGCAGAAAUGCCGCUAAUAUUUAAUGGUUGGAAUUGUCCACAUAAGGAUGGUCUGAUAUACGAUGUAUGGAAAAUCCCACACUUACAUAAUAAAUAAAGUAGAUAUGAAAAUGAGCUAAUCCCAGCUAGAUAAGUCCAGAACAAGUCUUGCCACAUCGCCAUCUUCAUAACCUGGAGUUUCUAGUUAUCCAAAUGGAGUGUGCAUUGUUAGCGCAACUGCUAAGAAAUAUUAGAACUGCAGAAAUGUAUUAUUACACAAUUUUGGAUAUUUUCCUACACUAGUUCAUACCUUGUGCACAAAAUCCACAGCUAAAAGGCCAUAUUUGUGUGAAUAAUGGUGCUAAAUUUAUCAGUUGAAAAGAGUAAAAAAAAAAAAAAUUUGAGUGUACUUUUGAAAACUGUGCAGUUUUAUAGGGGUUACUUUAAUUAGGGGGAUGCUAACCGUUCCUUAAAGAGACAGGCAUCAGCGAAACAAUCUGUCUAACUUUUAUUUAGAGAACAAAAUGGCGAUCCGACUCAGUUUGGCACUAUAAUAAAAAUGUAAAUAGCACAUUUUUCCAGCAUACUUGGUAGAAACUGUACGCCGAAAGAAAAGGGUCAAAAUAGUUCAUUACUGACCUGCUACUCAACAGAUUAAACCAGAG